AACGAACGCUGGCGGCAUGCCUAACACAUGCAAGUCGAACGAGACCUUCGGGUCUAGUGGCGCACGGGUGCGUAACGCGUGGGAACCUGCCCUUAGGUUCGGAAUAACUCCCCGACAGGGGUGCUAAUACCGGAUAAUGUCUUCGGCCCAAAGAUUUAUCGCCUUUGGUUGGGCCCGCGUUGGAUUAGCUGGUUGGUAGGGUAAAAGCCUACCAAGGCGACGAUGCAUAGCUGGUCUGAGAGGAUGAUCAGCCACACUGGGACUGAGACACGGCCCAGAAUACUACGGGAGGGAGGAGAGGGGAAUAUAGGAAAAUGGGGGAAAGCAUGAAGGAGCAAGGACGCGUGAGUGAUGAAGGCAGUAGGGUAGUAAAGCUCUUUUAACCGAGAAGAUAAUGACAGUACCGGGAGAAUAAGCACCGGCUAACUCCGUG
rnacentral:rRNA from 1 species